AGUGAACGCUGGCGGUAGGCCUAACACAUGCAAGUCGAACGGCAGCACAGUAAGAGCUUGCUCUUACGGGUGGCGAGUGGCGGACGGGUGAGGAAUACAUCGGAAUCUACUUUUUCGUGGGGGAUAACGUAGGGAAACUUACGCUAAUACCGCAUACGACCUACGGGUGAAAGCAGGGGAUCUUCGGACCUUGCGCGAUUGAAUGAGCCGAUGUCGGAUUAGCUAGUUGGCGGGGUAAAGGCCCACCAAGGCGACGAUCCGUAGCUGGUCUGAGAGGAUGAUCAGCCACACUGGAACUGGGACACGGUCCAGACUCCUACGGGAGGCAGCAGUGGGGAAUAUUGGACAAUGGGCGCAAGCCUGAUCCAGCCAUACCGCGUGGGUGAAGAAGGCCUUCGGGUUGUAAAGCCCUUUUGUUGGGAAAGAAAAGCAGCAGGUUAAUACCCCGCUGUUCUGACGGUACCUAAAGAAUAAGCACCGGCUAACUUCGUG
rnacentral:rRNA from 1 species